AGUGCACACUGUUAAAGCUCGGAGCUGAGGCUGGUUUCUGGCCAAUGAACUCUCGAGUGUCGGAAGCGUGCUACAGAAACCCCCAUGGCAGGAUUUUCGCUAACACCAGUAGAGUUCUGCUCUAUGACUGGCGUUUGAUAGUAGUCUCUGCCACAUGC
rnacentral:snoRNA from 1 species